rnacentral:rRNA from 1 species
CCUACGGGAGGCAGCAGUGAGGAAUAUUGCGCAAUGGGCGAAAGCCUGACGCAGCGACGCCGCGUGAGGGAUGAAGGUCUUCGGAUCGUAAAACUCUGUCAGCAGGGAAGAACGGUCACUUUGCUAAUCAGCAUUGCAUUUACGGUACCUACAAGGGAAGCACCGGCUAACUCCGUGCCAGCAGCCUCGGUAAUACGGAGGGUGCGUGCGUUAAUCGGACUUACUGGGCGGAAAGGGCUCGUAGGCGGUAUGUCAAGUCCAGGGUGAAAUCCCCGCGCUCAACGUGGGAACUGCCGUUGAAACUGGCAAACUUGAGUGUGCGAGAGGAUAGUGGAAUUCGAGGUGUAGGAGUGAAAUGCGUAGAUAUCAGGAGGAACCCCAGUUGCGAAGGCGACUAGCGGGCACAUAACUGACGCUGAGGAGCGAAAGCGCGGGUAGCAAACAGGAUUAGAUACCCCAGUAGUC